ACGCCCUCACGUGCCCUCACUUGCCCUCCCUGCUCUGACUGCGACUGACAACACCGGGAUGCUGCAAACUCUGCAGGAGAAGAACUGACGAGCUUACAGGAGUUAUUUAUCUUCAAAUGCCGACAUGCCUCAUGAGGAGAGGAGGUGGAAGCAAAAACAAAGGAGCUGCGUGAGGCUGCUAAAGGCAGUGGAUCCCUCACCAGCUGGGUGAAGAGCACAACAGUCUCAGAUCAGCACAGCCCUCCAACACUUCAAGCAGCAGCAGCAGCAGCAGCCCCAGCAACCCCUUAACAACAACACUGUAUACCCCAUCAGCUGCCCCUCCAAAGGUCUCUGCACGGCCCUGCUGCUUAUGGUCUGGUACCUGGGCGCUACUUUUUGAGGCUCCUGAGGCCUGGCGCGUCUAAAGGGCAGGGCGCCCAGAGGCAGGAGACGCGCCCUCACUGACAAACACCAUCCACCCCAGACCCCGAGCAGCUACAGAAACCACAACACCAGCCGCAGCUCCAAGUCCAGGUCUAACCUCAUACAUCUCGAAACCUGAGCUGCACAUCUACACUUCCAGCCCUGAAAGUAGGAGCCAUAACCUCUGCUUAUUUUGAGAGCAGAUUGCUCAUCUGCUCUCAGGUGUUAAAUGCCAUGUGUAUGGAUCAAAGGAUCUGCCUUGAGAAGGGCAUUAAGUAUAGAUUGGCCUUCUCCUGCCUGAGAGGAAAAAGAGGAGAUUGUUGGGCAACACUGACAAAAAAUACAUGCAGCAGAGGAGGGAUGGAGGAAAGAGAGAGUUGUGGAGGUGUACUAAGCUCAUGUCAGGCGGAAGCUGUCUGUGUGCGUCUCCUUCCAUCUCUCACUCUAUUAUUCCUACCCAUAUUUUUUACUCUUUCAAAUGCAUUUACAUGUGCUAAGGUAUUUCCCCCGGGAGCGUGACUCCAAUUCAGGGGGUAAGAUAAGCCAUCAAAGUCAGUGACAGAGAGGGCAUAUGGGUGACUCAAUGACAGGCUGAGUAGAAGACAGUCAGGAGAGCUGCCAUGACUUGCGUGCUCUCACACACACACAAAUGCACACUGACACAAACAGUGCAUUGUACAAGCCACGUCUCUGCUUCUCCAUAUAAAGACUGUACUCCUCAGAAAAGGAAGAUAUAAAGACGAAACCAGAGGUUAUUGUGCGGCUCUGCUCCCAGCACAUCAGCGCACGCACAUCCACUUAUACAGUACAUACGGUUUUGCACGUACAAUGGCAUUUUCUCCCCAACAACUGCUCUUGUUUAGUAUGCGCUUCCUUUGGUCUUGAGGAGGAAUGAUCCUCACUCUAAUGAACUAGGGCCUGCCACUUGAAUGUAAAACAGGAUUUAACCCGUCUUCAAUGUCAGAGCCCCUCCCUGGGGCUGCUUCAGACAACACACACACACUCGCAAAUUCAUGGAGACACACAUACACACACAGACACACAAGCAAACCACCAAUGUACACACACACACACACACACACACACACACACACAUAUGUACACACAUGGUAAUGCAGCCCCGCAUAUAAUCUCUGAUAAGUAAGAUGCUAUCCAUGUACUCGCCGUGCUUUUGUGUUCAUUUCAGAUGAAUUUUUGUUGAAUCACACGCCAGUGACGUCCUGCCUCACGCCAGGGUCGCUCUCACCUGCUCCACAGUUCCCUUCUUUUAAUAAAGGAUCAAUAUGAUUGUGUUUUAUUGUGUGUUUUAUUGCAGUUUGUCAACUUCAGAGAUACGCAAGAUCACCCACGUACUUUGAUAAUGACAUAAAACUACCUGCAGUGACACAACAAGACGUCUUUUAUAUUUAGUCUACCACUGAUUUGUCCCUUGAGUUUGUUAUUCUUGGCUGCGUGUUAGUUGGAUAUGUUAGUCUUAUACAUGUAUAUAUAUAUAGUGAAAGGUUGUUCAUAAAUGUCUGUUAUAUGUCUGACACAGUGAUAACUAACAAAUCUACUAUGUGCAAUUGUGUGAAACUAACUUGCUUACCUUAUGAUG